UGGGGAAUUUUGGACAAUGGGCGAAAGCCUGAUCCAGCAAUGCCGCGUGUGUGAAGAAGGCCUUCGGGUUGUAAAGCACUUUUGUCCGGAAAGAAAUCCUUGGCUCUAAUACAGUCGGGGGAUGACGGUACCGGAAGAAUAAGCACCGGCUAACUACGUGCCAGCAGCCGCGGUAAUACGUAGGGUGCAAGCGUUAAUCGGAAUUACUGGGCGUAAAGCGUGCGCAGGCGGUUUGCUAAGACCGAUGUGAAAUCCCCGGGCUCAACCUGGGAACUGCAUUGGUGACUGGCAGGCUAGAGUAUGGCAGAGGGGGGUAGAAUUCCACGUNUAGCAGUGAAAUGCGUAGAGAUGUGGAGGAAUACCGAUGGCGAAGGCAGCCCCCUGGGCAAUACUGACGCUCAUGCACGAAAGCGUGGGGGAGCAAACAGGAUUAGAUACCCUGGUAGUCCACGCCCUAAACGAUGUCAACUAGUUGUUGGGGGAUUCAUUUCCUUAGUAACGUAGCUAACGCGUGAAGUUGACCGCCUGGGGAGUACGGUCGCAAGAUUAAAACUCAAAGGAAUUGACGGGGUCAUAGCUGUUUCCU
rnacentral:rRNA from 1 species